rnacentral:rRNA from 1 species
CUUACCUGCUCAGUGCUUUAAAGUAAAUAGCUGCAGUAUUUUGACUGUACUAAGGUAGCAUAAUCAAUAGCUUUUUAAUUGAAGGCUGGAAUGAAAGGUAAAAACUAUAAAGAUGGUUUUAUUAAUUUAUUUUGAAUUUAAUUUAAAAGUAAAAAAGCUUUUAUAAACUCUUGGGACGAGAAGACCCUAGAAGCUUUUAUACAGUUGUAUUUUGGUUGGGGUGACUAAUGAAGAAAAAAAUCUUUAAAAUUGAAGCAUAUUUAAUUAUAAGUUACUCUAGGGAUAACAGCGUAAUUUAAUUUAUGAGUUCUUAUUUAAAAUUAGGUUUGCGACCUCGAUGUUGAAUUAAAUGGAAGUAAGGUGUAGGAGCUUUAUGUUUUUAGUCUGUUCGACUAUUAAAUUUUUACA